CAGCCCCUGGGAACCCUGCAUGGAGCCCCUGGGGCAGGAGAAACCUCCCUGCAGGGCCCCUGCCCUGAGCGCUCCCUGUGGGAUCAGUGAAGGAAACAAAGGCAGAGAUCCCCAGGGUUUGUUGGGACAGUGUCGGCAGGGAAGGGAUGGAGCUGCAGUGGGUUGGAGCUGAUAGCACAGGCACACUUCAUUUCUCCCUGGUGGUGUCCCAGGCCAGGCUGCAUGGGGCUGGGAGCACUCUGGGACAGUGGAAGGUGUCCCUGCCCAUGGUGGCACUGGGUGGGCUUCGAGAUCCUUCCCGCCCACCCCAUCCCACGAUUGCCAGACCAUCUGCAGUGGCUGCAGGCCCUGUUUGACCCCUCGGGCCAGUGCAGGGAGCUUUCCCGAGGUUCCAGUGUGGGCUGUUCCUCCCCCAGCCAGCACUGCUGCCUCUCCCUGUGUGUGGAACGCGUGUGGGACACGGAAGGCACCGCUGGUGGCCUUGGACAGCAGCUCCUCGGGCAGCUCCGAGAGCGACGACGACGACGACGACAAGGCCAAGGCUGGCACGGAAUCCACGGCACAGGAGCCCAGCAAGGACAGGGCAGCUCCCUCCAGUGGCUCUGACGGAAAGGCUCCGGAGAUGCUUCCCGCGGGCGACUCCGGUGCCCCCCGUGCCCGGAACAGCGCGGCCACGCACACGGACGGGCACCAGAGAGUGGCCACUGCUGUCACAACUGCCACAGAAACGGCCACGAGAGACAGGUGAGCGCAGAAUCCUGGCAUGGCUGGCUGGGNCACUCCAGUGUCACAGGAGGAUCUCUGUCCGUGAUCUGGGAUCAGACCCAGAGCAGGAUCUGGGUGGGAUCACUCAGAAAAGCAGAUAAAGGCUCCCAUGGGAUCCUCCUGCAGCCAUGGGGGGAAGGUUUAACCCACUCAGGUUCCCAUUUUCCCCUCAGUGUCGAAGGCAUUCAGUGAUAAAAGCACCAGGAAAGGCUGGAGCAGAUCCAGGGAUUGGGCAGGUUUGUAGGAAUUGGAUCCUCAGUCCAGCCUGCUCCAAUCACAGAGGAUGAGCUGCAGCCCAGCCCAGUCAGCAUCUGCUGCAUCCACAGAGAUUUUACUCAGUUCUAAGACUCUGAGAUUUCUCCUCAUACUCUUCCGUGGAUUUCCUCAUGUUUUUUACCUGAGUCCCUGGGUUUGUGCACCUGACUCAGGAUCAGGAGUUUCCUUCAGCAAUGCUUGGUGACACUUUGGGGUCAUCCCUGGGUGUGCUCAGCCAGCAGCAGCUCCUGGGGGCCUGGGGGCUGGGAAACCACUGGGAUUGCAGAAUUCCCUGGAAUUAGGGCAGGAGUUAUCCCAGGGUCUGUUAGGUUGGAAGCAGCUCAUUCUGAGAAAUGCAUUAAUUCUGAUAAUUGCAUUAAUUCUGAUAAAUACAGUUGAUUUUGAUAAAUGUGUUAGUUCUGAUAAAUGCAUUAAUUUAGAUAAAUGGAUUCAUUUUGAUAAACACAGGUAAUUUUGAUACAUUUCAGUUUGAUAAAUGCAUUAAUUGUGAUAAAUGCACUCUCUGUGCCUGGGAGUGGCCUGGCUGUGGCUUGGUGGGCAGCAGAGGGUGAGGGAGGGCACAGCA
ensembl:lncRNA